rnacentral:rRNA from 1 species
CCUACGGAUGGCUGCAGUGGGGAAUAUUGGACAAUGGGGGCAACCCUGAUCCAGCCAUGCCGCGUGUGUGAAGAAGGCCCUCGGGUUGUAAAGCACUUUCAGUGAGGAAGAACGCCUGGUGGUUAAUACCCAUCAGGAAAGACAUCACUCACAGAAGAAGCACCGGCUAACUCCGUGCCAGCAGCCGCGGUAAUACGGAGGGUGCGAGCGUUAAUCGGAAUUACUGGGCGUAAAGCGCGCGUAGGUGGCUUGAUAAGCCGGUUGUGAAAGCCCCGGGCUCAACCUGGGAACGGCAUCCGGAACUGUCAAGCUAGAGUGCAGGAGAGGAAGGUAGAAUUCCCGGUGUAGCGGUGAAAUGCGUAGAGAUCGGGAGGAAUACCAGUGGCGAAGGCGGCCUUCUGGACUGACACUGACACUGAGGUGCGAAAGCGUGGGUAGCAAACAGGAUUAGAUACCCCAGUAGUC